CUCCUUUAUAUAUAUCACGACAAAACAUACCUUGCGUUAAGUUUGCCGAAUAAAAAAAGGAAGAUCGAUCAAGUCAGGCACUCCCACUAACGCGGCACCCAAGAAUGCGCACGUAGCAGCUGAUGUACGUCCACACACACAUCACUCUAAUUAAUCAUCCUCACUUAGCACACUUGCAAAAAGGCCUAGUGCAUUAGUGCGCCCAACAUACCUAAUACCCAGUCG
rnacentral:lncRNA from 1 species